UACGGAGGAUGCGAGCGUUAUCCGGACUUAUUGGGUUUAAAGGGUGCGCAGGCGGAUUUUUAAGUCAGCGGUCAAAUCGUGGGGCUCAACCCCAUCCAGCCGUUGAAACUGGGGAUCUAGAGUGUGCGAGAGGUAUGCGGAAUGCGUGGUGUAGCGGUGAAAUGCAUAGAUAUCACGCAGAACCCCGAUUGCGAAGGCAGCAUACCGGUGCACAACUGACGCUCAGGCACGAAAGCGUGGGUAUCGAACAGG
rnacentral:rRNA from 1 species